GACGAACGCUGGCGGCGUGCCUAAUACAUGCAAGUAGAACGCUGAAGGAGGAGCUUGCUUCUCUGGAUGAGUUGCGAACGGGUGAGUAAGGCGUAGGUAACCUGCCUGGUAUCGGGGGAGAACUAUUGGAAACGAUAGCUAAUACCGCAUAAGAGUAGAUGUUGCAUGACAUUUGCGUAAAAGGUGCACUUGCAUCACUACCAUGUGGACCUGCGUUGUAUUAGCUAGUUGGUGGGGUAACGGCUUACCAAGGCGACGAUACAUAUCCGACCUGAGAGGGUGAUCGGCCAACCCGGGACCGAGACCACGGUCCGACCCCCACCGGAGGCAGCCGUAGGGAAUCUUUGGAAAUGGACGGCAGUCUGACCGCGCACCGCCGCGUGAGUGAAGAAGGUUUUCGGAUCGUAAAGGUCCGUUGUUAGAGAAGAACGAGCGUGAGAGUGGAACGCUCACACUGUGACGGUACCUAACGAGAAAGCGACGGCUAACUACGUG
rnacentral:rRNA from 1 species